rnacentral:rRNA from 1 species
AACGAACGCUGGCGGCAGGCUUAACACAUGCAAGUCGAACGCCCCGCAAGGGGAGUGGCAGACGGGUGAGUAACACGUGGGGAUCUGCCCAAUGGUACGGAAUAAUUCCGGGAAACUGGGACUAAUACCGUAUGUGCCCGCAAGGGGAAAGAUUUAUCGCCAUUGGAUGAACCCGCGUCGGAUUAGCUAGUUGGUGUGGUAAAGGCGCACCAAGGCGACGAUCCGUAGCUGGUCUGAGAGGAUGAUCAGCCACACUGGGACUGAGACACGGCCCAGACUCCUACGGGAGGCAGCAGUGGGGAAUAUUGGACAAUGGGCGCAAGCCUGAUCCAGCCAUGCCGCGUGAGUGAUGAAGGCCUUAGGGUUGUAAAGCUCUUUCGCCGACGAAGAUAAUGACGGUAGUCGGAGAAGAAGCCCCGGCUAACUUCGUGCCAGCAGCCGCGGUAAGAC